CACGUGGAACCUUGACUGAACAUGCGGGGACCACCCCGUAAGGCUAAAUACUCCUUAGUGACCGAUAGCGCAUAGUACUGUGAAGGAAAGGUGAAAAGGACCCCGGGAGGGGAGUGAAAGAGAACCUGAAACCCUGUGUUUACAAGCUGUGGAACACCUCUAUAAGGUGAACCGCGUACUUUUUGUAGAACGGUCCGGCGAGUUGCCGGUGCUGGCGAGGUUAAGAG
rnacentral:rRNA from 16 species